rnacentral:rRNA from 1 species
AGAGUUUGAUCAUGGCUCAGAGUGAACGCUGGCGGCAUGCCUAACACAUGCAAGUCGAACGGUAACAGGCCCGCAAGGGUGCUGACGAGUGGCGGACGGGUGAGGAAUACAUCGGAAUCUGCCCGGUUGUGGGGGAUAACGUAGGGAAACUUACGCUAAUACCGCAUACGACCGAAAGGUGAAAGCGUGGGAUCCGCAAGGACCUCGCGCAGCCGGAUGAGCCGAUGUCGGAUUAGCUAGUUGGCGGGGUAAAGGCCCACCAAGGCGACGAUCCGUAGCUGGUCUGAGAGGAUGAUCAGCCACACUGGGACUGAGACACGGCCCAGACUCCUACGGGAGGCAGCAGUGGGGAAUAUUGGACAAUGGGGGCAACCCUGAUCCAGCAAUGCCGCGUGUGUGAAGAAGGCCUUCGGGUUGUAAAGCACUUUUAUCCGGAACGAAACGUGUUGGGUGAAUAGCCCAGCAAACUGACGGGACCGGAGGAAUAAGCACCGGCUAACCUUCGUGCCAGCAGCCGCGGUA